GGAGGCCCACCGCCCUUCCCUGCCAGCCCGCCCAUUCAUUCCCGGGCCUCGCUUCGGCUCCCGCUCCAGCAGCUGCGGCCCGCGCUCGGCUCGUUGUCCCGGGCGCCGGUCGGCCUCUCCUCCUCCGGUCCCGGGGAAUUGGGCGGCGGAUCUGGGAGGGCCUCGCCCUCAUUUCACACGUCCCGCUCGCGCGUCGGACGGCGUGAAUAGGCGUUCCCGUUUCACACGCCCGAUUGGACCUGAACCUGCGCCAGGCUAAUUUUGCAGGUGUCCGGCUUAGGCAGUGUCUGAUGGGAAAAGGAAACCACUGAGCCACCCUAAAUAAGGUGUCUUGGGCUCAGGUUGUGGGGACCUGGAGGGGUCAAGUCCAGGCUCACGUCCUACAGACGGGGAAGCUGAGGCCCCGAUCAGGAGCGGUCAGUAGAGGACUGGACCGGUCCCUCUGAGGUCCCAGUGGCGCUUCUGUCUCCCUGACGCUUGGUUUCCCGUAGCCCUGAUGCUGGAAAGAUGCCUUAUUAAACAGAAAGCUGUUCUCCUCCCGUCAAACAG